GACGAACGCUGGCGGCAUGCCUAAUACAUGCAAGUCGAGCGGAGUUAUGAUGGAGCUUGCUCUUCAUGAAGUUAGUGGCGGACGGGUGAGUAACACGUGGGUAACCUGCCCUUCAGUGGGGGAUAACAUCCGGAAACGGGUGCUAAUACCGCAUAGUUUCUUUUUCCGCCUGGAAGAAGAAGGAAAGAUGGCCUUUGCGCUAUCACUGAGGGAUGGACCCGCGGCGUAUUAGUUAGUUGGUGGGGUAAUGGCCUACCAAGACGAUGAUACGUAGCCGACCUGAGAGGGUGAUCGGCCGCAUUGGGACUGAGACACGGCCCAA
rnacentral:rRNA from 1 species